AUUGAACGCUGGCGGCAUGCCUAACACAUGCAAGUCGAACGAGUCGCGGACGGGUGAGUAAUGUCUGGGAAACUGCCUGGUUGAGGGGGAUAACUACUGGAAACGGUAGCUAAUACCGCUUCCCCUCAGAUGUGCCCAGAUGGGUUUGACUUGUUGGUGGGGUAACGGCUCACCCAGGCGAAGCUCCCUAGCUGGUCUGAGAGGUUGACCAGCCACACGGGAACUGAGACACGGUCCAGACGCCUACGGUAGGCAGCAGUGGGGAAUAUUGCACAAUGGGCGAAAGCCUGAUGCAGCCAUGCCGCGUGUAUGAUGAAGGCUUUCGGGUUGUAAAGUACUUUCAGCGGGGAGGCGUUACCCGCAGAAGAAGCACCGGCUAACUCCGUGCCAGCAGCCGCGGUAAUAC
rnacentral:rRNA from 1 species